GUAACACGUGGGUAACCUACCUACAAGCGGGGGAUAACAUUCGGAAACGGAUGCUAAUACCGCAUAGAUCUUUUUGUCUCCUGGCAGAAAGAAGAAAGACGGUUUCGGCUGUCACUUGUAGAUGGACCCGCGGCGCAUUAGUUAGUUGGUGAGGUAAUGGCUCACCAAGACGAUGAUGCGUAGCCGACCUGAGAGGGUGAUCGGCCACACUGGGACUGAGACACGGCCCAGACUCCUACGGGAGGCAGCAGUAGGGAAUCUUCCGCAUUGGACGAAAGUCUGACGGAGCAACGCCGCGUGAGUGAAGAAGGUUUUCGGAUCGUAAAACUCUGUUGUUAGAGAAGAACAAGGAUGAGAGUAACUGCUCGUCCCUUGACGGUAUCUAACCAGAAAGCCAUGGCUAACUACGUGCCAGCAGCCGCGGUAAUACGUAGAUGGCAAGCGUUGUCCGGAUUUAUUGGGCGUAAAGCGUGCGCAGGCGGUUCUUUAAGUCUGAUGUGAAAGCCCCUGGCUCAACCAGGGAGGGUCAUUGGAAACUGGAGAACUUGAGUGCAGAAGAGGAAAGUGGAAUUCCAUGUGUAGCGGUGAAAUGCGUAGAUAUAUGGAGGAACACCAGUGGCGAAGGCGACUUUCUGGUCUGUAACUGACGCUGAGGCU
rnacentral:rRNA from 1 species